UUAAUUGAAACCAAAAUAGAGGUUAAUUAUUGUUAAUAAUUAAAUUGAAUUAUAUUCCAAUUAAA
rnacentral:tRNA from 1 species